CUUGUAACGAAGGAAGAACUGGAAAAGCAAACCUCAUAGUGUCAUUAUUGAAAUGAAUGUGCCUGGCAGACAAACAGCAAAUAUUUGGCAAGCACAGAGGCAAAAGUCGUUAUUGGAAAUGAGUAGAAUUUCCUAUCACAAGUAUCAGGAAGUCUGGGUUCAGAAAACUGCUUCAGCAAGGAUGCUUUUUACUGCAAAGCAAGGGUUCUGUAUCUGCUGUGAUUUCUCUUCUCUUUGCCUCGCCCCCAAAGCAGCACGGCAUCCAGGCUCUCCAAAGUCCAGAUUCAAAUGGAGGAUCUCUUUUUCCACAAGUCUGGAAUAAGAAGGCAGAGGAGACAGAGGAGGACAAGGACUCCCUUCUUUCCAAGAAUUGGCAAUGGACUGUGAUCCGAUGGUCAGUCUAUCCUCCCAGCUCCUUCACAGGACUUAUACAUCAUUUCCAGCAAUGAAGGAGGAGUUACAUCAUCGUUGUCCUCAUCUGACUUUGAGGAGUAUGGACCCAGGAUCAUUACGGGGUGCAGAAGGUGGAAGAUCUAGCUUCUGUAAUUGCUUCUGAAUAAGGGCAUUGGCAGGUUGAUCCAUACCUCUCCAUACCGAUCCACAGCCUCUCUUUCCCUGGUGGGGCAGGACUCUGGGGAAACAGGGCUCCAAGACACAUUGGUCGGGUCACCUGCUCAGGGAAGUCCCGUUGACAUCACGUUGGCAUCAGGAACCUGGUGGCUGAAAAAGAAUUAAGAUAUAAAGCAGAACAGACUGUUGACUGAGCAUGAACCUGAAGGCAAGAUUAUUGCAGAGGAAGAUUUGGUGGUCUCUGUUUUGGAGAAAUCUAGUCUACAGGGAGGGUCUACAGGAAGGGGGAUCCCUGGCCGCUGCUCCUUUUGUGUUCGUUCAUCAAGGGAGAAGUGCAUCUUCAGCACCAACAGUAUCUCCCCCGCCCGGUCCCCAAAUGGCCAAGGAUACAUCCCUCCUGGAGGAUGUGGACACUGUGACCUGCACGUGAGAAAGAGGGGGACGUGCCAGGAAGACUGGCCAAGUAAGUGAAUUCCUCAGACACUUAAAAGAUGUCUUUUGCUUGGAUGGGGAUGGGUGGUGGUGGAGAACACAGGUCCAAGAAGAAUGACAGCGGACCUAGUGGCAAAUGUUAUGCUUGUAAAAAUGUUUGUAUUUACUAUCGAAUGUAAAACAUUAAUUCCCCAAUAAAGAAAAUAACAAGUAAGUAAAUAA